GUUGAAUUUAGUACCCCCUAACAGUCAAUAAAUGUAGUGAUACCUUUUAGCUAAACUUAAUUUAUGUAAUAAAAUCAAUACAAAAAAUAUGUCCUAGGGUAAUAGGGUCAGGUUCAGCUACUGUUUUAGGUAAUUUAAUGUAUAUCUGUAAUCAAUGAUAGACCAUUGCUUACAGAAAAUUGCAGUAAUUUGUAAAAUUGUGGUGUGGGUGUAAAAUCGAUCCGACAACUUGGUGGGACAAACUUCUAGGUCGUCAUGAUACUGUAUAUAUAAUGAGUGCAUUAAACCCUUCGUAAUUUCGAAUGUAGUUACACGCGUGCAUUUUUAUCGAGAGGAGUUGGCACAAAUGGAAUUUGUAUGUUUGUGUGAAUAAAUAACGU